rnacentral:rRNA from 1 species
AGAGUUUGAUCCUGGCUCAGGAUGAACGCUGGCGGCGUGCCUAAUACAUGCAAGUCGAUCGGGGAUGGAAGAGCUUGCUUUUCCAUCCGAGAGGCGAACGGGUGAGUAAUACGUAAGCAACCUGCCCACGAAGUCUGGGAUAAGCCCUGGAAACGGGGUCUAAUACCGGAUAGGCAGUGUGACCGCAUGGUCAUACUGUUAAAGACGAGGAGCACUGGUGGAUGGGCUUACGGCGCAUUAGCUAGUUGGCGGGGCAACGGCCCACCAAGGCGAUGAUGCGUAGCCGGCCUGAGAGGGUGAACGGCCACAUUGGGACUGAGACACGGCCCAGACUCCUACGGGAGGCAGCAGUAGGGAAUUUUCGGCAAUGGGGGGAACCCUGACCGAGCAACGCCGCGUGAGCGAAGAAGGCCUUCGGGUCGUAAAGCUCUGUUGCAGGGGAAGAAUUACGGGGAGCAUAUCCCCGGGUGACGGUACCCUGCCAGAAAGCCACGGCUAACUACGUGCCAGCAGCCGCGGUAAUACGUAGGUGGCGAGCGUUAUCCGGAAUUAUUGGGCGUAAAGGGUGCGCAGGCGGAGCGGUAAGUCAGUGGUGAAAGACCGGGGCUCAACCCCGGGGCGGCCACUGAUACUGUCGUUCUAGAGUACUGGAGAGGGGAGCGGAAUUCCAUGUGUAGCGGUAAAAUGCGUAGAUAUAUGGAGGAACACCGGCGGCGAAGGCGGCUCCCUGGACAGAUACUGACGCUCAUGCACGAAAGCGUGGGGAGCAAAUAGGAUUAGAUACCCUAGUAGUCCACGCUGUAAACGAUGGAUGCUGGGUAUCGGGGCGACCCGGUGCCGUAGCCAACGCGUUAAGCAUCCCGCC